rnacentral:rRNA from 1 species
UACGGAGGAUCCGAGCGUUAUCCGGAUUUAUUGGGUUUAAAGGGUGCGCAGGCGGGAGAUUAAGUCGGCGGUGAAAUUUUGCAGCUCAACUGUAAAAGUGCCUUCGAAACUGGUUUCCUUGAGUGUGGAUGAAGUAGGCGGAAUUUGUGGUGUAGCGGUGAAAUGCAUAGAUAUCACGAGGAACUCCGAUUGCGCAGGCAGCUUACUAAACCAUAACUGACGCUCAGGCACGAAGGCGUGGGGAUCAAACAGGAUUAGAUACCCCCGUAGU